AAUAUCGUGUUAGUCUCGCCGUCUCUCCCUGAGUGGACAAUGUUAUAAUUAAUAUGCCUGACCUAUCUGCCUGUUUUGACUCCCAUACACGGCUGAUUUGCCUGGUUUAGUCGUCCCCUGUAUGCCGGCACCCGCAUUUGUUCCUUGUGGGUUACUAUCAAUAAGCGUACGAAAGCUUCUGUUGUCAUGGCUAGCGCCCUGCUAAAUGUCCUGCUGCUGCUGUCUUGCCAUUGCUGAGCCGCUACUAUCUCUGCUAUUACUAUUGCUGUCUUAGCCGCUCCCACAACUGCUUCCAUCACUAUUGCUGUCUUUGCGGUGCUUCAGGAUAUGAUUAAGCUAUGGCUGUGACUGGAAUUUGAAGUCGGGAAAGUUUCAAGCUCUCUACCUGUGUCCGGACUUCCUGUGCUGUGCCGUGCUGCUUGUUGCUCUGCCGCUGUCCUCGCUGCUCCGUCUCGGUGGUCCGGUUCUCGGGUGUCGGAUCUCUGGGCUAUCUGGGUCUGUCUCUGCGCCAGCCGCAUGCUCCGUGCUUCGUGACUCCGUGUACCCCGUGUGACCCGUUGUGUACCCCGCUUUGGGAGCUGGGGUGUGCAGGGACGCGUCGAGUUCUGUGCCUUUCCAUUGGCCGGUUGGAGUGUCACAUGGCUAUGUGAAGGAGGAAUCCAGACUGCCCGGACUGUAAGGAGGUGUAAGGAGACGAGAGUGUGAUCGAGGCGGAUUGAAUUACAAAUCUCACAGCGUGGGAAGCCGAAGGAAAAGAAAGAUAAGACUGGGCAGCAGCAGCCGUGGGGUAAGCUGGACUUUAAAAAAAAAAAAAAAGAAAACAUGAUAUGGGACAUGAUAUGAUAUGAUAUGAUAUAGCUUGACUUAAAGUAAAGGAGGAGAUCUUUGCAGGACUCUCUAGAAAAUUACUGGAUUCUUUAAUUAUAUCUCCUAAGUGCCGUUGAAAAUGAGUACUUAAGCGAUUGCAUAUAUAUAUUGAAUAUUGAAAGUGAUCACUUGGAGGCCCUUUUUUUUUUUUUUUUGUGGUGAAGGAGAAAGGAAAGGGGACUAUUGAAGUCCAUUUAAAAACCCCAAAAAUGUAUAUGAAAGAUACUGACGGCUUACUCCUCUGAACUAUUUAAAGAAUAACAUGUUAAAGAACCUUUUUUUGAAGCAUACAAGACAUUAGGGAGAAGUUAACCAACUUAUAGAUAUUUUAGUUGGUGAUAAAUCGGCUCCCCCUUGGCCCUCCUUUCUUUUUUGCUGAUAAUUUCUGACUGGACCAGCACUACUAAAAGAAAAGAAGAAAGUUUUUAUUUUUUUUUUUUUUUUUUUUUUUUAUUUUUUUUCUCCUGGUUUUUUUUUUUCUUCUUUUGGACGCUAGAACCAGCCUUAGAACCAGCCCUUAUAGUAUAGGCAAUUAUUGGUAAUUACUGGUAAUUGGUAACUCAAAGUGAUUUCUUUAUUUCUGGUGGGGUAAAAUUGCUAUUGUUGGAUUGCCUAAAAGCAUUUUCUAGUAAUUUUGUGACACGUUACCCGCAUCUCCCCCCCCCUUGUGUUUUUUUUUUUUCUCCCCCCCCCCCCCUUUUUUUUUUUUUUUCGCAACAGACAUCGAGACUUGAAUACAGAAGGGAUAGAGGUGGAGGGGAGGGGAGGGUCGACUUAUUCUCCAAAUUCUGUUUUUUUUUUUUUAUCGCUUUUUCUUUUUUUUUUUAUGUGUAUGCAAUAUCGGUUGUAUCUGAUAUCUAAUAUUUAAUACCUAUUCAGGACUUAAAAUAGGAGGUUGUAAGAAGUGUAAAAACCAUAAGUGGUAAAUACCACUCCUUUGCCCUCUAUCACCCUUUAUUAUCCCCCCCCCCCCCCAUUAGGAGGGCGCUCCAAAGUGUUAAAGAGCUGUCUAAACACAUAAGGAGAGGUAAAAAGAUCUAAAUUGGUAUUGAAAUUCAAUAGGUAUCCCAAAACAAGCCCUAGUAACCCUAGAGAAGGCAGAAGGAUGGGGGGAAGGGGGAGAAGGGGAGGAAAAACAAAUCCAAUUGACAGUAGUAAUUCUAUAAAAUCAUAUUUGGUAUCGGAACAAUUGGAUCAGAGGGGGGACCAAGGAGUAGCAACCCCAGAGGCAAUAACCCAACUAGCAGAAAUACAGGGGAAGGAUACGGAUAGAGGAGAAGGGGGAACACAACAUGAUCCACUACAAAAGAAAAUGGAGAAGGAUAUAGACAAGCUUCAGGCACUCCCCACAAAGCAGGAUAUGGUGGAAAUGAUGGCCCACUUAGAAGGUAUGAUUAAGAGAACUGAGUGCUACUCGAACGGAUAUACAAAAUGUUUUACAUAGAGUGGAAGAAUCAGAAGCCCACCUAGAUGAACACAAAGAUGCAAUUCUGGAGUUAAGGGAAAGAAUCGACUUGGAUUGGGUUGAAAUGAGAAAUAUCCGGUAUAAAUUAGAGGAUCAAGAGAAUCGGAAUAGACGCAACAAUUUGAGGAUACGCGGUUUGCCGGAAUCAGUGGAUAAUAGCAAGCUAGAGACCACGAUCCUCGAAUUGUUCAAUAAAAUCUUAAAGAGAGAAGCAACAGCACCGAUUAGUUUUGAAAGAGUACACAGAGUCCAAAGAAUAACUAACCCACCAACAGGUAUAGCGAGAGAUGUAAUAGCAAGGUUUCUGGACUUUAAGGUUAAACAAGAAGUUGUACAGGGACUGAGAGGCUCAGAGCCAGUGAAAUACAUGAGUGCAGAGAUCCUGGUCUUUACAGACUUAUCACAAGAGACCCUGGCUCGCAGGAGGGCAUUAAAGCCCCUGGUAAAAUUACUACAGGAGAAAAAAA